UUGGAGGGCAAGUCUGGUGCCAGCAGCCGCGGUAAUUCCAGCUCCAAUAGCGUAUAUUAAAGUUGUUGCAGUUAAAAAGCUCGUAGUUGAAUUUCGGGAUUGGCGCAUCGGUCGUGCCUCACGGGGUAUGAACUGGUGCAGUCAAUUUCUCACCUUCUGGAGAACCGCGAUGUCCUUAAUUGGAUGCCGCGGGGAACCAGGACCUUUACUUUGGAAAAAUUAGAGUGUUUAAAGCAGGCAUUUUUGCUUGAAUACAUUAGCAUGGAAUAAUAAAAUAGGACGGCAUGGUUCUAUUUUGUUGGUUUCUAGGACCACCGUAAUGAUUAAUAGGGAUAGUUGGGGGCAUUAGUAUUCAAUUGUCAGAGGUGAAAUUCUUGGAUUUAUUGAAGACUAACUACUGCGAAAGCAUUUGCCAAGGAUGUUUUCAUUAAUCAAGAACGAAAGUUAGGGGAUCGAAGACGAUCAGAUACCGUCGUAGUCUUAACCAUAAACUAUGCCGACUAGGAAUCAGACGAUGUUAAUUUUUUAAUGACUCGUUUGGCACCUUACGGGAAACCAAAGUGUUUGGGUUC
rnacentral:rRNA from 1 species